rnacentral:rRNA from 1 species
GGUUAAGCGACUAAGCGUACACGGUGGAUGCCCUGGCAGUCAGAGGCGAUGAAGGACGUGCUAAUCUGCGAUAAGCGUCGGUAAGGUGAUAUGAACCGUUAUAACCGGCGAUUUCCGAAUGGGGAAACCCAGUGUGAUUCGUCACACUAUCAUUAACUGAAUCCAUAGGUUAAUGAGGCGAACCGGGGGAACUGAAACAUCUAAGUACCCCGAGGAAAAGAAAUCAACCGAGAUUCCCCCAGUAGCGGCGAGCGAACGGGGAGCAGCCCAGAGCCUGAAUCAGUGUGUGUGUUAGUGGAAGCGUCUGGAAAGGCGCGCGAUACAGGGUGACAGCCCCGUACACAAAAAUGCACAUACUGUGAGCUCGAUGAGUAGGGCGGGACACGUGGUAUCCUGUCUGAAUAUGGGGGGACCAUCCUCCAAGGCUAAAUACUCCUGACUGACCGAUAGUGAACCAGUACCGUGAGGGAAAGGCGAAAAGAACCCCGGCGAGGGGAGUGAAAAAGAACCUGAAACCGUGUACGUACAAGCAGUGGGAGCACAGAGCAAUCUGUGUGACUGCGUACCUUUUGUAUAAUGGGUCAGCGACUUAUAUUCUGUAGCAAGGUUAACCGAAUAGGGGAGCCGAAGGGAAACCGAGUCUUAACUGGGCGUUAAGUUGCAGGGUAUAGACCCGAAACCCGGUGAUCUAGCCAUGGGCAGGUUGAAGGUUGGGUAACACUAACUGGAGGACCGAACCGACUAAUGUUGAAAAAUUAGCGGAUGACUUGUGGCUGGGGGUGAAAGGCCAAUCAAACCGGGAGAUAGCUGGUUCUCCCCGAAAGCUAUUUAGGUAGCGCCUCGUGAAUUCAUCUCCGGGGGUAGAGCACUGUUUCGGCAAGGGGGUCAUCCCGACUUACCAACCCGAUGCAAACUGCGAAUACCGGAGAAUGUUAUCACGGGAGACACACGGCGGGUGCUAACGUCCGUCGUGAAGAGGGAAACAACCCAGACCGCCAGCUAAGGUCCCAAAGUCAUGGUUAAGUGGGAAACGAUGUGGGAAGGCCCAGACAGCCAGGAUGUUGGCUUAGAAGCAGCCAUCAUUUAAAGAAAGCGUAAUAGCUCACUGGUCGAGUCGGCCUGCGCGGAAGAUGUAACGGGGCUAAACCAUGCACCGAAGCUGCGGCAGCGACGCUGAUGCGUUGUUGGGUAGGGGAGCGUUCUGUAAGCCUGUGAAGGUGUGCUGUGAGGCAUGCUGGAGGUAUCAGAAGUGCGAAUGCUGACAUAAGUAACGAUAAAGCGGGUGAAAAGCCCGCUCGCCGGAAGACCAAGGGUUCCUGUCCAACGUUAAUCGGGGCAGGGUGAGUCGACCCCUAAGGCGAGGCCGAAAGGCGUAGUCGAUGGGAAACAGGUUAAUAUUCCUGUACUUGGUGUUACUGCGAAGGGGGGACGGAGAAGGCUAUGUUGGCCGGGCGACGGUUGUCCCGGUUUAAGCGUGUAGGCUGGUUUUCCAGGCAAAUCCGGAAAAUCAAGGCUGAGGCGUGAUGACGAGGCACUACGGUGCUGAAGCAACAAAUGCCCUGCUUCCAGGAAAAGCCUCUAAGCAUCAGGUAACAUCAAAUCGUACCCCAAACCGACACAGGUGGUCAGGUAGAGAAUACCAAGGCGCUUGAGAGAACUCGGGUGAAGGAACUAGGCAAAAUGGUGCCGUAACUUCGGGAGAAGGCACGCUGAUAUGUAGGUGAAGUCCCUCGCGGAUGGAGCUGAAAUCAGUCGAAGAUACCAGCUGGCUGCAACUGUUUAUUAAAAACACAGCACUGUGCAAACACGAAAGUGGACGUAUACGGUGUGACGCCUGCCCGGUGCCGGAAGGUUAAUUGAUGGGGUCAGCGCAAGCGAAGCUCUUGAUCGAAGCCCCGGUAAACGGCGGCCGUAACUAUAACGGUCCUAAGGUAGCGAAAUUCCUUGUCGGGUAAGUUCCGACCUGCACGAAUGGCGUAAUGAUGGCCAGGCUGUCUCCACCCGAGACUCAGUGAAAUUGAACUCGCUGUGAAGAUGCAGUGUACCCGCGGCAAGACGGAAAGACCCCGUGAACCUUUACUAUAGCUUGACACUGAACAUUGAGCCUUGAUGUGUAGGAUAGGUGGGAGGCUUAGAAGUGUGGACGCCAGUCUGCAUGGAGCCGACCUUGAAAUACCACCCUUUAAUGUUUGAUGUUCUAACGUUGACCCGUAAUCCGGGUUGCGGACAGUGUCUGGUGGGUAGUUUGACUGGGGCGGUCUCCUCCUAAAGAGUAACGGAGGAGCACGAAGGUUGGCUAAUCCUGGUCGGACAUCAGGAGGUUAGUGCAAUGGCAUAAGCCAGCUUGACUGCGAGCGUGACGGCGCGAGCAGGUGCGAAAGCAGGUCAUAGUGAUCCGGUGGUUCUGAAUGGAAGGGCCAUCGCUCAACGGAUAAAAGGUACUCCGGGGAUAACAGGCUGAUACCGCCCAAGAGUUCAUAUCGACGGCGGUGUUUGGCACCUCGAUGUCGGCUCAUCACAUCCUGGGGCUGAAGUAGGUCCCAAGGGUAUGGCUGUUCGCCAUUUAAAGUGGUACGCGAGCUGGGUUUAGAACGUCGUGAGACAGUUCGGUCCCUAUCUGCCGUGGGCGCUGGAGAACUGAGGGGGGCUGCUCCUAGUACGAGAGGACCGGAGUGGACGCAUCACUGGUGUUCGGGUUGUCAUGCCAAUGGCACUGCCCGGUAGCUAAAUGCGGAAGAGAUAAGUGCUGAAAGCAUCUAAGCACGAAACUUGCCCCGAGAUGAGUUCUCCCUGACUCCUUGAGAGUCCUGAAGGAACGUUGAAGACGACGACGUUGAUAGGCCGGGUGUGUAAGCGCAGCGAUGCGUUGAGCUAACCGGUACUAAUGAACCGUGAGGCUUAACCUU